UACAGAGGGUGCGAGCGUUGUCCGGAAUCACUGGGCGUAAAGGGCGCGUAGGUGGUUUGGUAAGUGUGUGGUGAAAGCCCGGGGCUCAACCCCGGGUCUGCCGCGCAAACUGCUGAACUUGAGCAUACUAGAGGCAGGUUGAAUUCCGGGUGUAGCGGUGGAAUGCGUAGAGAUCCGGAAGAACACCGGUGGCGAAGGCGGCCUGCUGGGGUAGUGCUGACACUGAGGCGCGACAGCGUGGGGAGCAAACAGG
rnacentral:rRNA from 1 species